GAUUCAAGUCCCAGCCCCGAACCAGCUGCCUGCACACCAGCCCCAGAAUUGCCUUCAGAGCAACACAGAGUUUCUUUGGAACAAGGAGCAACAUUUAAUAUCCGUGAGAUCCUUAAGACAGCUGAUGGAAAAUGCAUGGUUAGCAGUCUUGAGGAACAGAAUCACAUAAAUAAUGAAAGACGUGCCAUGGUCCGGAUACUUGUGUCCCACAUAAUUAAGCGCUUUGGAGAGAAUCCAUCUUCAGGUGCAAAGGCUAUGCUGGCAUCAUCAAUUGUGGAUCAGUUUCCAUGCCUGAGGGACUGUCAAGGCACAGGCUAAACGCAUGGUUCACCCCAGAUAGAGGGCGUAAACCUGCAACAGGCUUUCUGGAAGAGCGUCUCCGCAAUGUCUGAAAAAGACUCCACUCUGGCAGACGAGUAAAUUUAACAUCACAAGUGCCACAAGACACCCGAGUCAUUUUGCCAGAACUCCAGAGCGGGCCAUCCAAUUGACGGAGUGACUGAAGAAUAACAUCUGGCCACAGUCCCAGGUUGGCCAACACAUGUUGGAGACUGCCAUCCAUAGGGCACAGUGGAUCUGAGCAAAUGGGACUACAUAAAUGCUAGACAUUAUCACAGAGUUCCCAUGCUUAGUGGACACUCCAGGCAUGGUGAGCUAGAAUCUUACAAAAUAAAAUGUUGUGUUGUGGUGCUGGGAUUGUUGUUCGAUGUCAACUUUGUGCUAAAUUUUGGGAGUUCAUCUAGACUACCGUCUUUCAGAUACCGGGACAUGAAUCAAACACUGUCAA